UACGUAGGGGGCAAGCGUUGUCCGGAAUCAUUGGGCGUAAAGCGCGUGUAGGCGGUUCGGUAAGUCUGCUGUGAAAGUCCAGGGCUCAACCCUGGGAUGCCGGUGGAUACUGUCGGGCUAGAGUGCGGAAGAGGCGAGUGGAAUUCCCGGUGUAGCGGUGAAAUGGCGCAGAUAUCGGGAGGAACACCAAUUGCGAAGGCAGCUCGCUGGGACGUAACUGACGCUGGAGACGCGAAAGCGUGGGGAGCGAACAGGAUUAGACUA
rnacentral:rRNA from 1 species